GGAGAGGUGGCAGAGUGGUCGAUUGCGUCCGACUUGAAAUCGGGAGUCCUGAAAGGGACCGGAGGUUCGAAUCCUCUCCUCUCCG
rnacentral:tRNA from 1 species